rnacentral:miRNA from 1 species
GAACAGAGAGAGAGAGAGAGAGAGAGAGAGAGAGAGAGAAGGAAUUCCGUAGCAGAUUGCCCUUGGGCUUGAACAGCAACUGACAGCUCUUCCCUGGGUCUCCAGUCUGGACUACCCUGAAGAUUUUGAACUUGAUCCUUAAGACAUUUCUCUCUCUCUCUCUCUCUCUCUCUCUCUCUCUCUUUCAACCCCAUUUC